GAUGAACGCUGGCGGCGUGCCUAAUACAUGCAAGUCGAGCGAACAGACGAGGAGCUUGCUCCUCUGACGUUAGCGGCGGACGGGUGAGUAACACGUGGAUAACCUACCUAUAAGACUGGGAUAACUUCGGGAAACCGGAGCUAAUACCGGAUAAUAUAUUGAACCGCAUGGUUCAAUAGUGAAAGACGGUUUUGCUGUCACUUAUAGAUGGAUCCGCGCCGCAUUAGCUAGUUGGUAAGGUAACGGCUUACCAAGGCGACGAUGCGUAACCGACCUGAGAGGGUGAUCGGCCACACUGGAACUGAGACACGGUCCAGACUCCUACGGGAGGCAGCAGUAGGGAAUCUUCCGCAAUGGGCGAAAGCCUGACGGAGCAACGCCGCGUGAGUGAUGAAGGUCUUCGGAGCGUAAAACUCUGUUAUUAGGGAAGAACAAAUGUGUAAGUAACUAUGCACGUCUUGACGGUACCUAAUCAGAAAGCCACGGCUAACUACGUG
rnacentral:rRNA from 1 species